UUUGAUCCUGGGCCUCAGAACGAACGCUGGCGGCGCGUUUUUAAGCAUGCAAGUCGAACGAUAACCGAUCUUCGGAUCGGCGAAAGUGGCGCACGGGUGAGUAACACGUAGAUAAUCUGCCUCUGUGUUGGGGAUAGCCCAUGGAAACAUGGGGUAAUACCGAAUAAGGUCUUGGAGCUGGAAGGGCACUGAGAAGAAAGGUGCGUAAGCACCGCACGGAGAUGAGUCUGCGGCUCAUUAGCUAGUUGGGGGGGUAACGGCCCACCAAGGCGAUGAUGAGUAGCCGGCCUGAGAGGGUGGACGGCCACACUGGGACUGAGACACGGCCCAGACUCCUACGGGAGGCAGCAGCUAAGAAUCUUCCGCAAUGGGCGAAAGCCUGACGGAGCGACGCCGCGUGAACNAANAAGGCCGAAAGGUUGUAAAGUUCUUUUCAUGUGGAUGAAUAANGACUGUANGGAAUGACANUCUNAUNACNUUNAACUUGNAAUAANCCCCNGCUA
rnacentral:rRNA from 1 species